UUAGUACGAUUCAUUACAUCAUAUCACAUGUCCCUCCUCUGGACAGCCUGGAUGAAAAACCUGAUUGCGAGAUGAGGAGUGGUUCAGGUAAUUGCUGCAUGACGUCCGAGUCUUUAAAACCAGAAGUUGAAAAGCCUAAAAGUGAAAAGCAUGAAUCUUCUGUACUGUCUGCCACCAAAAUAGCUAAGAAGAUAAAAUUGAAGUUCACUAAAGCGUGGAUUUUGUUUUUGAGGGUACCACUUCCACUUGAUGUAUAUA